rnacentral:rRNA from 1 species
AUUGAACGCUGGCGGCAGGCCUAACACAUGCAAGUCGAGCGGAUGACGGGAGCUUGCUCCUUGAUUCAGCGGCGGACGGGUGAGUAAUGCCUAGGAAUCUGCCUGGUAGUGGGGGACAACGUUUCGAAAGGAACGCUAAUACCGCAUACGUCCUACGAGAGAAAGCAGGGGACCUUCGGGCCUUGCGAUAUCAGAUGAGCCUAGGUCGGAUUAGCUAGUUGGUGGGGUAAUGGCUCCCCAAGGCGACGAUCCGUAACUGGUCUGAGAGGAUGAUCAGUCACACUGGAACUGAGACACGGUCCAGGCUCCUACGGGAGGCAGCAGUGGGGAAUAUUGGACAAUGGGCGAAAGCCUGAUCCAGCCAUGCCGCGUGUGUGAAGAAGGUCUUCGGAUUGUAAAGCACUUUAAGUUGGGAGGAAGGGCAGUAAGUUAAUACCUUGCUGUUUUGACGUUACCGACAGAAUAAGCACCGGCUAACUCUGUGCCAGCCGCCGCCGUAA